UAUAUGCGGGGGCUUCUUGCUCUGCAAUUGGAAUGAGAACAAUUUAAAUCACUUAACGAGUAUCAAUUGGAGGGCAAGUCUGGUGCCAGCAGCCGCGGUAAUUCCAGCUCCAAUAGCGUAUAUGUAAGUUGUUGCGAUUAAAAAGCCCGUAGCUGAACCUCGGGCAACCCUGACGGUCCGCGUUUCGUGAGUACUGUCGUGGGUUGUCUUUCUGGCAAGACCGUAUCUCGGUGUUAACUCGCCGGGAACGGCGCUUGCCAAGGUUACUUUGAGUAAAAUAGAGUGUUCAAAGCAAGCUCGCGCUCUGAAUACACUAGCAUGGGAUAACACGACAUGACCGAUGGUCUAUCUUGUUGGCCUGUAGACCUGUUGGUAAUGGCUAAUAGGGACGGUCGGGGGCAUUCGUAUUUCGCUGUCAGAGGUGAAAUUCUUGGAUUUGCGAAAGACGAACUACUGCGAAAGCAUUUGCCAAGGACGCUUUCAUUAGUCAAGGACGAAAGUCGGGGGAUCGAAGACGAU
rnacentral:rRNA from 1 species